CAUGCAAGUCGAACGCGUUGGCCCAAUUGAUUGAUGGUGCUUGCACCUGAUUGAUUUUGGUCGCCAACGAGUGGCGGACGGGUGAGUAACACGUAGGUAACCUGCCCAGAAGCGGGGGACAACAUUUGGAAACAGAUGCUAAUACCGCAUAACAGCGUUGUUCGCAUGAACAACGCUUAAAAGAUGGCUUCUCGCUAUCACUUCUGGAUGGACCUGCGGUGCAUUAGCUUGUUGGUGGGGUAACGGCCUACCAAGGCGAUGAUGCAUAGCCGAGUUGAGAGACUGAUCGGCCACAAUGGGACUGAGACACGGCCCAUACUCCUACGGGAGGCAGCAGUAGGGAAUCUUCCACAAUGGGCGCAAGCCUGAUGGAGCAACACCGCGUGAGUGAAGAAGGGUUUCGGCUCGUAAAGCUCUGUUGUUAAAGAAGAACACGUAUGAGAGUAACUGUUCAUACGUUGACGGUAUUUAACCAGAAAGUCACGGCUAACUACGUGCCAGCAGCCGCGGUAAUACGUAGGUGGCAAGCGUUAUCCGGAUUUAUUGGGCGUAAAGAGAGUGCAGGCGGUUUUCUAAGUCUGAUGUGAAAGCCUUCGGCUUAACCGGAGAAGUGCAUCGGAAACUGGAUAACUUGAGUGCAGAAGAGGGUAGUGGAACUCCAUGUGUAGCGGUGGAAUGCGUAGAUAUAUGGAAGAACACCAGUGGCGAAGGCGGCUACCUGGUCUGCAACUGACGCUGAGACUCGAAAGCAUGGGUAGCGAACAGGAUUAGAUACCCUGGUAGUCCAUGCCGUAAACGAUGAGUGCUAGGUGUUGGAGGGUUUCCGCCCUUCAGUGCCGGAGCUAACGCAUUAAGCACUCCGCCUGGGGAGUACGACCGCAAGGUUGAAACUCAAAGGAAUUGACGGGGGCCCGCACAAGCGGUGGAGCAUGUGGUUUAAUUCGAAGCUACGCGAAGAACCUUACCAGGUCUUGACAUCUUGCGCCAACCCUAGAGAUAGGGCGUUUCCUUCGGGAACGCAAUGACAGGUGGUGCAUGGUCGUCGUCAGCUCGUGUCGUGAGAUGUUGGGUUAAGUCCCGCAACGAGCGCAACCCUUGUUACUAGUUGCCAGCAUUAAGUUGGGCACUCUAGUGAGACUGCCGGUGACAAACCGGAGGAAGGUGGGGACGACGUCAGAUCAUCAUGCCCCUUAUGACCUGGGCUACACACGUGCUACAAUGGACGGUACAACGAGUCGCGAACUCGCGAGGGCAAGCAAAUCUCUUAAAACCGUUCUCAGUUCGGACUGCAGGCUGCAACUCGCCUGCACGAAGUCGGAAUCGCUAGUAAUCGCGGAUCAGCAUGCCGCGGUGAAUACGUUCCCGGGCCUUGUACACACCGCCCGUCACACCAUGAGAGUUUGUAACACCCAAAGUCGGUGGGGUAACCUUUUAGGAGCCAGCCGCCUAA
rnacentral:rRNA from 1 species